GCGAACCGGGGGGCCUGCCAGCAGGUACCCUGCCAAACCAAACAGGAAUCAGUGCGGACAAUAGGAAGAUUAUGUGGUGGAAAAUGGAUACCCCGCAAUGGGGAACCCUGUCAAUUAUAUUUAGUCGCGGCGUCUUCCCCCCCAGACCACAGAGCCAGCCUUCGCUCCAAGCACUCAGAAGACGCCUUUGAGCGGAAAGGUCUCUCAGGACCCAGCUGCAAAAAAGGGGGCCCCACCAAACCACUCUGGUCCAGAUAUACCCUCACUCCCCGACCCUUGUAUUCACCGAUUGAUGUGGAAAUGGACUACUCUCCACGCCUUGGAAACACCUAUUGACAUGGAGAUGCACUAAGGCCAGACAGUCACCAUGAGCGUGACCUUCCCCGCUAGAAGUCAGGGUGAAGAGAGUGAAUGUGGAGCCAGAGAUCCCGAAGAUGUGGAUUCCGACUAAUACGUCUGCCCUUGCGUUGCAGUGAACCUCUGCAGCUCUAAGGAAGAGCAUGUAGGAAAGCCUCUGAAGGGGGCUGCUACUGACAGGAGCCAGCAUGUCUUAAAAAUGAACACAAAAUUCCAAGUUUAGUUAGACUAUAAAGUAAUUGCAAGCAUUCCAUUUUAAAGGACUUUUUUCCUUAAUACUGCUGUGCUAUACAGGUGCCAAGAACCUUUUUUGUUUAAUUAACGUUUGGAGAAAAGAACUUUUGCCCUCAAAGCCUCUAGAUAGGUUUAAUGGCCCAUCCAAAUGCUUUGGGAAUUCAAAUUAUUUUUUUCCAACUACGUAGUGGCUCUGAUGUAUGAAUAAUUGGUCCGAGAAAUAGAACAGAUUGCCAGAUUUAGUUCAGAAAUCAGUAGGGGAAAAGAAUGGUGUUGAGAACCCCUUUUAGUUAAGAAGUUAAACGUGUCUGUCUCUUGCAUUAGACUGCUGUAUGAAUCCUGGGGUCGCCAGCACUUGGUUUAUUGCAGGUGCUCAAUA